rfam:Oryza nivara chromosome 5, whole genome shotgun sequence.
AAAAAAACAAACCAUAGGUAUCCGUGUUCAAUGUUUGACUGUCCGUCUUAUAAAAUUAUUUUAUAAUUAAUAUUUUCAUUGUUGUUAGAUGAUAAAACACGAUUAAUAUUUUAUGCGUGACUUGUCUUUUUAAUUUUUUUCAUAAUUUUUUCAAAUAAGACGAACGGUCAAACGUUGCACACGAAAACAAAGGUUUGUCUUUUUU